GUCUGCUUCACUGUGAGGUUUUUGCACAUCGGACGGAUGAAGUCUUCCACGGAGACGGCAACGAGGGCGUUGAUGCUGGAAGACACUGUGCUGAAACGCAUCACAUAACAUGUUAACUACAUAUUUGUUCAGCAGGGUCCCGCUGUACGCAGCAGCCACAAACAAACCGGGGAUUCCAGGGUAGACGGCCAAGAUGUCCAUGACGAGGCCUCCCUGAAGCACGGCCCCUCUCGCGACGACCGCCACGAAACCCGCCAGCAUGAUCACCAUCUGCAGCACGUCGGUCCAAAUGACCGCCUUCAGCCCGCCCUGAAGACGACACCGGCGCAGACGACAGAGUUCAACCGAAACGAGAACGACGCAGAAACACGCGCUGGUGAUCCCCAGCCGGUAGAAGAGAGGCACAAAGAUCUCAGCAGUGAUGGUUGACAUGAUGACGUAGCUGAUGCCGAAGAGCCAGAAGGACGUCCCGUACGAGUACGCCUCGGCCGGCGUGCCGAUGACGGUGA